ACCUGACUGCUAUCGGAUUGAUACUAAGCCAUGCGAGUCAUUGUAGCAAUACAAGGCAGACGGCUCAGUAACGCGUAGUCAACCUAACCUAUGGACGGGAAUAACCUCGGGAAACUGAGUAUAAUGCCCGAUAGAACAUUAUGCCUGGAAUGGUUUAUGUUCCAAAUGAUUUAUCGCCGUAGGAUGGGACUGCGGCCUAUCAGUUUGUUGGUGAGGUAAUGGCCCACCAAGACUAUUACAGGUACGGGCUCUGAGAGGAGUAGCCCGGAGAUGGGUACUGAGACACGGACCCAGGCCCUAUGGGGCGCAGCAGGCGAGAAAACUUUGCAAUGUGCGAAAGCACGACAAGGUUAAUCCGAGUGGUUUCUGCUAAAGGAACCUUUUGUCGGUCCUAAAAACACCGAUGAAUAAGGGGUGGGCAAGUUCUGGUGUCAGCCGCCGCGGUAAAACCAGCACCUCAAGUGGUCAGGAUGAUUAUUGGGCCUAAAGCAUCCGUAGCCGGCUCUGUAAGUUUUCGGUUAAAUCUGUACGCUCAACGUACAGGCCGCCGGGAAUACUGCAGAGCUAGGGAGUGGGAGAGGUAGACGGUACUCGGUAGGAAGGGGUAAAAUCCUUUGAUCUAUUGAUGACCACCUGUGGCGAAGGCGGUCUACCAGAACACGUCCGACGGUGAGGGAUGAAAGCUGGGGGAGCAAACCGGAUUAGAUACCCGGGUAGUCCCAGCUGUAAACUAUGCAAACUCAGUGAUGCAUUGGCUUGUGGCCAAUGCAGUGCUGCAGGGAAGCCGUUAAGUUUGCCGCCUGGGAAGUACGUACGCAAGUAUGAAACUUAAAGGAAUUGGCGGGGGAGCACCACAAGGGGUGAAGCCUGCGGUUC
rnacentral:rRNA from 2 species